rnacentral:rRNA from 1 species
CCUACGGGUGGCAGCAGUAGGGAAUAUUGCUCAAUGGGCGAAAGCCUGAAGCAGCGACGCCGCGUGAGGGAUGAAGGUUUUCGGAUUGUAAACUCCUUUUAUUAGGGAAGAUAAUGACGGUAUCUAACGAAUAAGCACCUGCUAACACCGUGCCAGCAGCCGCGGUAAUACGGAGGGUGCGAGCGUUACUCGGAAUGACUGGGCGUAAAGAGCGCGUAGGCGGGAUAGCAAGUCACAUGUGAAAUCCUAGGGCUUAACCAUAGAACUGCAUUUGAAACUGGUAAUCUAGAGUAUGUGAGAGGUAGGUGGAAUUCCUGGUGUAGGGGUGAAAUCCGUAGAGAUCAAGAGGAAGACUCAUUGCGAAGGCGACCUGCUAGAACAUAACUGACGCUGAGGCGCGAAAGCGUGGGGAGCAAACAGGAUUAGAUACCCCAGUAGUC